AUGAAAUCUGUCAGUGCAUAUGAUGUUUGUUGUAUGGAGCUGAUUAGGACUGGACUUCAUUUCCAAGCUACUUUUAGCUAAUGAGGUGGUUGCUCUAGGCCUGGAGUUCGACACCUGUGCUCUAGGUCUUUCCAGUCUUGUGAUUAUAGCUUGACAUUUGCUGUAUAGAUAUGAGAUUGAUGUAAAUGUAAAAGGAAGGAGUUUUUAUCAGAAUCUUGAAGAUUUUCCUUAGAAGGAACAGCUCAAAUGACUGCAGUAAAUGAACAGUGGCCUCAAAGUUGACUCUGUGUAAAUUUAAAUAAAAUCAGAAAACUGACUGCUCCACUUCUGGUAUUUUUUUGUUUCAUCAUGCUGCAAAUUCUUUGAAAUGUGUGACAGGAUGGGGCUGCGGGCAGAUCCGUUAAGAACCUGUUUGCAACUCCUUCCAGCAGUCUAACCCAUGUCACAAAGCUCAGAUCACUUCAAACUGGUUCAAUCAACAUGAGUUCACUCAAAUGCCCUCCAAAGUCACAAGAUCUCAAUUCAAUACAGCAAACAGGAGAUUUGCAUCAUGAACGCAGUGUGAUGCCAUCAGUUCAAUAUGGGCCUAAAUCUCUGAAGAAAGCAAAAGGUGAUCCAACCCAGUACACGGAGAGUGUACCUAAUAAAGUGUCUGGUGAGUGUAUAUUGUUGAACAUUUUGUUUGCGUAAUCUUUUAAUUGUAGUGAACUCCUCUCAGGCUUCACUUUGACAGAUUGUUUCUAAAUAUUUGAGAUCUCGGGUUUUGUGGAAACUCUUAUUGGUGUGCACUUAACUGUGUGAUGGUGGUGGAAGUGUUAAAUUCCAAAUACGUGAAAUGCACAAGCAUAAUAAAACAUGUCAAAGCA